ensembl:rRNA 5S_rRNA 5S ribosomal RNA
CAGCCAUAUCACCCUGCAGCCCAAGACCGGCUGCCAAGACCGGCAGCCCUGAAGCUAAGCAGGGCUGAGUCUGGUCAGUACCUGAAUGGGAGACCACAUGGAAAGCUAGGUUGCUGAUAAAA